rnacentral:rRNA from 1 species
GACAGAGGAGGCUAGCGUUGUUCGGAAUCACUGGGCUUAAAGCGGGUGUAGGCGGCCCGGUAAGUAUCUUGUGAAAUCCCCCGGCUCACCCGGGGAACUGCUGGAUAUACUGCCGGGCUCGAGGCAAGUAGGGGCCACUGGAACUCUAGGUGGAGCGGUGAAAUGCGUAGAUAUCUAGAGGAACGCCUAAGGCGAAAGCAGGUGGCUGGGCUUGUCCUGACGCUGAGAUCCGAAAGCGUGGGGAGCAAACGGG